rnacentral:rRNA from 1 species
GACGAACGCUGGCGGCGUGCCUAAUACAUGCAAGUCGAGCGAACCAAUAGGAGCUUGCUCCUGUUGGUUAGCGGCGGACGGGUGAGUAACACGUGGGCAACCUGCCUGUAAGACUGGGAUAACACCGGGAAACCGGUGCUAAUACCGGAUAAUCUUUUUCCUCUCAUGAGGAAAAACUGAAAGUCGGUUUCGGCUGACACUUACAGAUGGGCCCGCGGCGCAUUAGCUAGUUGGUGAGGUAACGGCUCACCAAGGCGACGAUGCGUAGCCGACCUGAGAGGGUGAUCGGCCACACUGGGACUGAGACACGGCCCAGACUCCUACGGGAGGCAGCAGUAGGGAAUCUUCCACAAUGGACGAAAGUCUGAUGGAGCAACGCCGCGUGAGCGAUGAAGGCCUUCGGGUUGUAAAGCUCGGUUGUUAGGGAAGAACAAGUACCGGAGUAACUGCCGGUGCCUUGACGGUACCUAACCAGAAAGCCACGGCUAACUACGUGCCAGCCGCCGCGGUAA